UGGCACAGUUGGUAGAGCAUGGUGUUUGCAACGCCAGGGUUGUGGGUUAGAUUCCCAC
rnacentral:tRNA from 1 species